UAGGGAAUCUUCCGCAAUGGACGCAAGUCUGACGGAGCAACGCCGCGUGAGUGAAGAAGGAUUUCGGUUCGUAAACCUCUGUUGUUAGAGAAGAACAGCGCAUAGAGUAACUGUUAUGCGUGUGACGGUAUCUAACCAGAAAGCCACGGCUAACUACGUGCCAGCAGCCGCGGUAAUACGUAGGUGGCAAGCGUUGUCCGGAUUUAUUGGGCGUAAAGCGAGCGCAGGCGGUCAAUUAAGUCUGAUGUGAAAGCCCCCGGCUCAACCGGGGAGGGUCAUUGGAAACUGGUUGACUUGAGUGCAGAAGAGGAGAGUGGAAUUCCAUGUGUAGCGGUGAAAUGCGUAGAUAUAUGGAGGAACACCAGUGGCGAAGGCGACUCUCUGGUCUGUAACUGACGCUGAGGCUCGAAAGCGUGGGUAGCAAACAGG
rnacentral:rRNA from 1 species